GCUGAGGAGUGGUGAGUUCCUGGUUGUCCUGUCCUUUUCUUCUGCUUGGCCUGGAAAUUGUACCUGGCUGGUUGCUGCCUCCUGUUGCUGGUGGUGCCUCUCGCUGACCCUGGGUUCAGCUUUUGAAGUGCUUCCAGAUUGUGCCUAAAGCUCAGCCCAGAUCUGUGAGAGAGGGGAGCAUCACAUUGCCUGCUCUGCUGAAGUUGGAGGUGUGGUGCCAAGGGUUAAAAUCUUGCACUGGAGAUCUGCACGGGGGCUCUGGCUUCUUCACCUGGCUCUGCUGCUGCUCCAGCUGAAUGGUCCUGGUUUCUUCACCACCCUCAAUCAGAAGAAUGUGCAGAAAGGAGCACCUGCAAGUGCUGUUCAUCCCCCAGUUCCACACAGCGUUGUGUUUUCAGGAGGGAAGGGCUCAGGAGUCAUCCUUGCCAGCUGGGUUCACCUCGUGUGGCUGGCAGUCAGCGGGAGGACAUCCCCUCUUCCACACUGGUGUUGGCUGCUGCUGGAUUCGUCUUUCCUGGUGGGAGCUGCAUCCAUCUUUGCCAAAACUUGGGUGGAAGAAGAGCUGGGAGAGCAGUGGGAGUGGGAAGCACUUGCAGGGGGAUAACUGAGCUCGGCAAAUGCCCCCGAGUAAGCGCCGUGCAAUGCGGGUCAGAUGGAUGGAAGGAAAAUAAAUUUUAGACAUAUUGAAUAUAUUUGGUUGCUCGAUGACACUUCCCAUGUUCUCCUACUCUAUUUCUUUUCCUUGGCUUUUUAGCUGAUAGAAGGGACCACGGCAGAGCUUCUGUCGCCAAUUUCAGCAAUUCUCCUUUCGGUUCUACUG